rnacentral:lncRNA from 1 species
CUGUGAUACAAAAGCAGAGAAGAAAACCAACUUUUCACACAUCCAGGAAAAUAUUAAGAUGAUCUGGUAUUUAAUUAAGGAAGAAGACUGCUCACUGUCCAUACCAAAUUUCAAUUGACAAAGACAAAAAGGUACAAUUGAAGAUUUUCUUCGAGUGUGCUCUUUUAGGAAAACAAAACAGCCAAGUGUUUAACAAAAGCUAUGAGGCCCUAUCACUGCAAGCUUAAUCUCACCCAGCUCCUACUCCCUAUCUCCCAGCUACAGAGCAGCAUCUGAAGAGCCACGGGGCCCCCACCUUCAUCCCUGAGAAUUUUAGGAGCCAGCCUGCCUUUCCAGGUGACACUGGACACUUUCAUCUGAGAACCCUGUCACAUGACAGUUGUUUCCUUUCUUCCUCCUCUCCUGGGAAUGCUGCUGCUUCGAUGACCCAAGAGCCUAAGAAGGGUAGCUGUUUCUCAAUACACUGAGAGAGAGUUCUUUCUCCGUCCUGACCAUCUUGGGACCCGAUGGCAAGACUGGAAGGAUUUAUAUCUCCUUUUGUACAGAAAACUGCCUCCCCAUGUUGGUUUGUGAAGUGAAAUGCAUAUAAAACAGAGGAUUCCAGACUCUCAGAAGUCAAUACAUAAAUAAAUAAAAAUAAAACUGAGAAGAUACCUCAAAAUGGUCAGACUCAUUAGCAUCAUCCAGGUGUAUUUUCUCUUCAAACAGUGUCAGUGGGUCUCUAAUAAAGAGAUGAGCAACAUGCUGGGCCAGGAGAUGAUCAAUGCCUGCAAAAAGAGAUCACAUGGGAACUCACUGCAAAGCGAGAGAUACCACUUCCUCUUAGUCCAGAAAGACGACAGGAUAGCUCAGGAAGUUUGAAGAAAGGGUGUCUAGAAGCUUGAAAUAGCUGGUUUGAUUAGUAUCCUCACCUCACCCAGUAUUUUAUCCUGCGGACACUGCGGGAGUGUCAGCGUUUUAUUCACUACUUACACAAUGCCUGCUGGGGCACUGGUGUGGACCUAGACACAGACCUCCAAAGUAAGCUCCUUUUGCUAAAAAUCAAGAAAAUCUCACAAGUAUUUGGAACCUGAAACUUUAGGAACAAGUAGCCUCAUGAGAGAAGUUAAAGACUUUGCACUAAAAAUAGAAACCAGACCAGGAGUCAGCAAAAAAGUGUAAAAGAGCUUUGAAGAACUAAAGGCGUACAUUCAAACCCAGAAAGAUGGAGUAGAAACCCACCUUCCUGCAACAGCUGUUCGUAGAUCUCUUUAUCUAUCGUCAA